rnacentral:rRNA from 1 species
UACGAAGGGUGCAAACGUUGCUCGGAAUCAUUGGGCGUAAAGCGCACGUAGGCGGCCUUGUAAGUCGGAUGUGAAAUCCCUCAGCUCAACUGAGGACGUGCAUCCGAAACUGUGAGGCUCGAGUAUGGAAGAGGGUCGCAGAAUUCCCGGUGUAGAGGUGAAAUUCGUAGAUAUCGGGAGGAAUACCAGUGGCGAAGGCGGCGACCUGGGCCAAUACUGACGCUGAGGUGCGAAAGCGUGGGGAGCAAACAGG